CGCCCGCUCAGAAACUUAAAGGAAUUGACGGGGGCCCGCACAAGCGGUGGAGCAUGUGGUUUAAUUCGAUGCAACCCGAAGAACCUUACCUGGGCUUGACAUUAUGGGAAAAGCCGUAGAGAUACGGUGUGCAUUUAGCGUCCAUAACAGGUGGUGCAUGGCUGUCGUCAGCUCGUGUCGUGAGAUGUUGGGUUAAGUCCCGCAACGAGCGCAACCCUCGUCCUUAGUUGCCAUCAUUAAGUUGGGCACUUUAAGGAAACUGCCGGUGAUAAGCCGGAGGAAGGUGGGGAUGACGUCAAGUCCUCAUGGCCCUUACAGGCUGGGCUACACACGUGCUACAAUGGCAUCUACAGUGGGCAGCUAUUCCGCAAGGAUGCGCUAAUCUCCAAAAGAUGUCUCAGUUCGGAUUGUCCUCUGCAACUCGAGGGCAUGAAGGCGGAAUCGCUAGUAAUCGCGGAUCAGCAUGCCGCGGUGAAUACGUUCCCAGGCCUU
rnacentral:rRNA from 1 species